rnacentral:misc_RNA from 1 species
GCACGGUCUGAGGCACGUUGG